UUAAUACAAGAUGGCAUCAUGAGUCCACAUGUUCACAUGAUUAAAGGUAUUCCGGUAGACGAUGGGGAUGCGUUCCAUUAGAUAGUAGGCGGGGUAACGGCCCACCUAGUCUUCGAUGGAUAGGGGUUCUGAGAGGAAGGUCCCCCACAUUGGAACUGAGACACGGUCCAAACUCCUACGGGAGGCAGCAGUGAGGAAUAUUGGUCAAUGGGCGAGAGCCUGAACCAGCCAAGUAGCGUGAAGGAUGACUGCCCUAUGGGUUGUAAACUUCUUUUAUAAAGGAAUAAAGUCGGGUAUGCAUACCCGUUUGCAUGUACUUUAUGAAUAAGGAUCGGCUAACUCCGUGCCAGCAGCCGCGGUAAUACGGAGGAUCCGAGCGUUAUCCGGAUUUAUUGGGUUUAAAGGGAGCGUAGAUGGAUGUUUAAGUCAGUUGUGAAAGUUUGCGGCUCAACCGUAAAAUUGCAGUUGAUACUGGAUAUCUUGAGUGCAGUUGAGGCAGGCGGAAUUCGUGGUGUAGCGGUGAAAUGCUUAGAUAUCACGAAGAACUCCGAUUGCGAAGGCAGCCUGCUAAGCUGCAACUGACAUUGAGGCUCGAGAGUGUGGGUAUCAAACAGGAUUAGAUACCCUGGUAGUCCACACGGUAAAC
rnacentral:rRNA from 1 species